rnacentral:tRNA from 1 species
UCCCUGAUGGUCCAGUGGUUAAGAUUUGGUGCUUUCACUCCUGUGGUUUAGGUUCAAUUCCUUGUCAGGGAA